GCAGAGCACUCCUAGGGAGGCAGCAGUGGGGAAUAUUGCACAAUGGGCGCAAGCCUGAUGCAGCCAUGCCGCGUGUAUGAAGAAGGCCUUCGGGUUGUAAAGUACUUCAGCAGUGAGGAAGGUGGAUAUGUUAAUAGCAUAUUCAUUUGACGUUAGCUGCAGAAGAAGCACCGGCUAACUCCGUGCCAGCAGCCGCGGUAAUACGGAGGGUGCGAGCGUUAAUCGGAAUUACUGGGCGUAAAGCGCAUGCAGGUGGUUUGUUAAGUCAGAUGUGAAAGCCCGGGGCUCAACCUCGGAAUUGCAUUUGAAACUGGCAAACUAGAGUACUGUAGAGGGGGUAGAAUUUCAGGUGUAGCGGUGAAAUGCGUAGAGAUCUGAAGGAAUACCGGUGGCGAAGGCGGCCCCCUGGACAGAUACUGACACUCAGAUGCGAAAGCGUGGGGAGCAAACAGGAUUAGAUACCCUGGUAG
rnacentral:rRNA from 1 species